rnacentral:rRNA from 1 species
GAUGAACGCUGACAGAAUGCUUAACACAUGCAAGUCGAUGGGGAAGUGGUGCUUGCACCAUGGCAACCAUGGCGGACGGGUGAGUAACGCGUAAGGGACUUACCUGCAGGACUGGGAUAACAGGGGGAAACUCCUGACAAGACCGGAUAAUGUCAUGGAGCUGCAUGGCUUUAUGAUGAAAGGAGAGGCCUGCGGAGAGCCUUGCGUCCUAUUAGCUAGUUGGUGAGGUAAUGGCCCACCAAGGCGAAGGUAGGUAGCCGGCCUGAGAGGGUGGACGGCCAAAGGGGAAGUAAGUUACGCCCCUACCUCUUACGGGGGCAGCGAUUGGGAAAUAUUGGACAAGGGGGCAACCCUAAUCCAGCAAUUCUGUGUGCACGAAGAAGGUUUUCGGAUUGUAAAGUGCUUUCAGCAGGGAAGAAGUAAGUGACGGUACCUGCAGAAGAAGCGACGGCUAAAUACGUG